UGCCCACUUAAGUUGCUUUUAUUAUACUUUGAUCAAGGCAUUUGAGGAAGCAAUUGCUGAGUUGGACACUCUGGGAGAAGAGUCGUACAAGGAUAGCACUCUCAUCAUGCAGCUCUUACGGGACAACCUCACCCUUUGGACUUCAGAUGUUCAGGAUCAGUUAGAUGAGCCGUAGAAAGCAAUAUAAGUUGCCCAGGCCUAUUCUUCUUCUGCGAGAAGAAUGGCAUUUAUUUGUGCUGAUUUUAAGAAUGUGUGUUAGUCAUGUAAAUCAGGUGUCAAAGUGUCAACCUUCAACAUAAUGCCUCCAUAUUCAGACGAAACUAGUUCCUGAAUCUGUUUAGUAGUUUGGAAAAUAUGGAAUUUGAUGGAACGCUAGCUAUAUAUUUUUCUACAUUUUAUUUAGUUUUUGCA